AUUCUUCUCCUUAGCUGCCUCCUAAGAAGCUCUCCUUAAGGGAUACCUGUGGAGAGCUUUCACAUGCUGGUCUUGUCUACAGCUGGUGUAUCACACUGGGAGACUGUUCCUUUUACUGGUGCCAGAAGAGUCUGAAUAGUCUUUUGUGUUUAAGUGGAGGUUAUUAAAUAGAUUUAUAUUAAUUAACUGUGAUGCUGGGAACACAUGGGCAAAUGUACUUGAGGAGAUUGGUUUAUCCAUAUGGAAAUUACAUUGGAAGUUAAAUCCAUUACCCUAAUUGUAAAAUUCGACAGCGCUUAGCCAAUAACUGUGGAAUUGCCUAACUCAUGCAUUUGUUUCAGAGCUGGGCAAGUGCCUAAUUUCCUUGAAUACUUGCUCAAAUUAAAAAUUGAAUUUGCCUCAA